CGCAUGUCCUUGAAUCAGCUUUGCAAAAACACUCUUCUUCCUCAAAGUAUAAAUAUUGAUUUGCACAAUUGCCCCUUUUCAACUGAAAUAUGAAUCCUCAAAUUCAAUGCCCCAAUUUUAUUUUAUGACCAUGCACAUAGAGAAACAGGAAGGUGGCAUUUUAGGGUUAGAGUUUGAUGUGUAGUUGUUAGUGGCAAUAGCUUG
rnacentral:misc_RNA from 1 species